AUCCAUCUGAUCAGUCCCAAAUAGGACGAAACGUGCACCCUGGAU
rfam:Schistosoma rodhaini strain Burundi genome assembly, scaffold: SROB_scaffold0001415